rnacentral:lncRNA from 1 species
AGAGGGAGGAGUUAAGGAGACAGACAGAGAGAGAGAGAGAUCUGAGGAGAAGAGGGAGAACCAAAAUGGAGGCUGACGUGGUGUUAUCAAAGAGACUCUUGUGCUGCGUGACCCCUGACUGUAACCAAGUGUCCUUCUCUCUGAGACGUUCCCUCGGAGCUUGUUCUCACAGCCCUCACCUCCAGUGACCUCCACGAACUUUUCCACACGAGGGGUUCUCUGCUUCCCUCCAUCUGAGCUGCGCAAUUCCACCAGGCCUUUUGCUCCUCUUCAGUCAGGUGCUUUGGAGGUAAUGAAGUCUUUCGGGGGAAAAAUAAACAAAGGAAAUGCACCCGGUUGAUGUCAAUGGACUUGUUUAACUAUUUAAGGCCACUGUCUCCAAGUGUAAGUGUGCUGCGGUGUGUUUUGUAAAGUAGCGCUUAUAAUCCACUGAGCUUUCCAAACAGCCCUCUUGCCUAUUAAGCCUGCAUUGAGAAGUGGGUUUAAUUUGCCAGAGUAGUUUUUUGUGAUAAUUACAGGACUUGCAGAUUAGCUUGAGUGACUUGGCAAGGUUCUGUAGCUAAUAAAAAAUCACACAGGAAAAAAAUUGUAACAUUCAAUUGCUUCAAGGUUCUUCACGAGAGAAACAUUAAACAAACCUGAUAGGCCAGUUUCCAGUCUGUGAAGGGACUUGGAGGCAAGCCGGGAGAGAGGGAGGAGAAAGAGAUCGCCAUGAUGGGGAAGAAGGAAGAGGAGACCUAAAGGCCAGCUGACAUGUGAGAAUCAGGGAAAGUGGCCACACGGGCCACUUCCACAGCUGUGUUUGAGGACCAACGGUACUGUUGCUCUAGCUACAGGAAUAAUCCUGGGCAGCACUUGUUGACCUUGGUCACUGUCAAGGGAAGAUCGGCUGUUCCCACUGAGGGCAUCUUGAUGGAUUAAGGUGAUCAGCUGAUCAAUGUGAGGGGACAGAUGGGAGCUAGGAACUGUCUCGGUACUGAGUCAUUUUUCAUCUAAUGUGCAAGAAACCCAAAGAGCACAUCAAACAGCGAACUACGCCUAAGCUAUCCAUGUUUCUCCUGCUUCUUCUGAGAGGGUGAUUUACACGUAGCUCAACACUCGAGUGUUGCAGUAUCGAGUGACUGCAACCAAACAAUGGAACAUGCAUCGUGCCUGUUGACAGAGCCUGCAGUUGGCUUGGAACCGGGACCAUGCUGCAUUCGACAUCGUUCCUGGUGGCUGACUUGUUCCCAUAGAAUUAAAUGCUAGGCAUCCAGAAGCUGACUGUGCAUCUGAUGGGCUCACUAACAUUCAGGAACAGGUUGGCCUCAGACUUCAUCAAUGGAAAGAGCCACCUAGAACAUGGAUGCAAGCUGGAACUUUGACGUUGUCUUGGGGAUAAAAGUUAAACAAAGAAGUGGAUUCUUCAGUCCUGACGCGUAAGUCACUGAGAGGAUGAGCUCGUUCCCUCUCCUGAAAGACAUCUUCCUGUUACAGCAGCCAGCUUUGCCAGCUCCCUGAACGUUCUGCUGCCUCCUUGCCCAGAACA